GAUGAACGCUGGCGGCGUGCCUAAUACAUGCAAGUCGAGCGAACGGACGAGAAGCUUGCUUCUCUGAUGUUAGCGGCGGACGGGUGAGUAACACGUGGAUAACCUACCUAUAAGACUGGGAUAACUUCGGGAAACCGUAGCUAAUACCGGAUAAUAUUUUGAACCGCAUGGUUCAAAAGUGAAAGACGGUCUUGCUGUCACUUAUAGAUGGAUCCGCGCUGCAUUAGCUAGUUGGUAAGGUAACGGCUUACCAAGGCAACGAUGCAUAGCCGACCUGAGAGGGGGAUCGGCCACACGGGAAAUGAGACACGGUCCAGACCCCCAAGGGAGGCAGCAGUAGGGAAUUUUCCGCAGUGGGCGAAAGCCUGACGGAGCAACGCCGGGGGAGUGAUGAAGGUUUUCGGAUCGUAAAACUCUGUUAUUAGGGAAAAACAUAUGUGUAAGUAACUGUGCACAUCUUGCCGGUACCUAAUCAGAAACCCACGGCAAACUACGU
rnacentral:rRNA from 1 species